UACGUAGGGGGCAAGCGUUGUCCGGAAUCACUGGGCGUAAAGCGCGCGCAGGCGGCUAUCUACGUCCGGGGUGAAAGCCCAGAGCUCAACUCUGGGACUGCCUUGGAUACGGGAUCGCUUGAGGAUCGGAGAGGCAAGGGGAAUUCCCGGUGUAGUGGUGAAAUGCGUAGAUAUCGGGAGGAACACCAGUGGCGAAGGCGACUUCCUGGCCUGUUCUUGACGCUGAGGCGCGAAAGCUAGGGUAGCAAACGGG
rnacentral:rRNA from 1 species